rnacentral:rRNA from 1 species
GAAAAGAACUUUGAAAAGAGAGUCAAAGAGAACGCGAAACCGUCCGAAGGAAAAGAAACCGCGAGGGCGAGCCGGCGUUCGGCCCGGUCGCGCGGUGGUGGCCGCCGCCCCACCGUCGUUGACCGCGGUCGAAGAAGGCCGCGACCGACUCGAUCUUGUUCGAAGUCGCUCCGUCACGAACCCGCGUCGCCGUCCCCCGCGGCGCGCGGAGACGCGAGCUUCCGAGAUCUCGAACGGGCCUGGGAGCGCAGAGCGGCGACCGAGCUUCGGCUCGAUCGCGCGCGAGUCUGCGGCUCAUUCGGCGUCGGCCCUGGCGACC